rnacentral:rRNA from 1 species
AUGGAUUGGUGCCUUCGGGAACUGUGAGACAGGUGCUGCAUGGCUGUCGUCAGCUCGUGUUGUGAAAUGUUGGGUUAAGUCCCGCAACGAGCGCAACCCUUAUCCUUUGUUGCCAGCGGUCCGGCCGGGAACUCAAAGGAGACUGCCAGUGAUAAACUGGAGGAAGGUGGGGAUGACGUCAAGUCAUCAUGGCCCUUACGACCAGGGCUACACACGUGCUACAAUGGCGCAUACAAAGAGAAGCGACCUCGCGAGAGCAAGCGGACCUCAUAAAGUGCGUCGUAGUCCGGAUUGGAGUCUGCAACUCGACUCCAUGAAGUCGGAAUCGCUAGUAAUCGUGGAUCAGAAUGCCACGGUGAAUACGUUCCCGGGCCUUGUACACACCGCCCGUCACACCAUGGGAGUGGGUUGCAAAAGAAGUAGGUAGCUUAACCUUCGGGAGGGCGCUUACCACUUUGUGAUUCAUGACUGGGGUGAAGUCGUAACAAGGUAACCGUAGGGGAACCUGCGGCUGGAUCACCUCCUA